rnacentral:lncRNA from 1 species
GGGGCGUUACAGAUAUAAUACAGUGUUUCAUCAGCUGAAGCCGGAAUACACCAUAAGGGUAACAGUAUCAGUCAUGGUACACAUAGUACCUUUUCGGAACAGAUCCGAAACAGUCACAGUCAUAGUUAGGUACAGAGUACCUUUUCGGAACAAAUCCGGAACAGUCACAGUCUAGCGACAGAUAAAGUGUCUCAUCGACACAGAGUCAGAAUAUCCCUAACUUCACUGAUCCUAUGGCAUGCCAACUAUAUCCGAAUAGCCCG